rnacentral:rRNA from 1 species
GACGAACGCUGGCGGCGUGCUUAACACAUGCAAGUCGAACGGAAAGGCCCUGCUUUUGUGGGGUGCUCGAGUGGCGAACGGGUGAGUAACCCGUGAGUAACCUGCCCUUGACUUUGGGAUGACUUCAGGCAACUGCGGCUACUACCGGAUAGGAGCUCCUGCUGCAUGGUGGGGGUUGGAACGUUUCGGCGGAUGGGGAUGUACUCGCGGCUUAUCAGCUUGUUGGUGGGGUAGUGGCUUACCAAGGCUUUGACGGGUAGCCGGCCUGAGAGGUUGGCCAGCCACAUUGGGACUGAGAGACGGCGCAGUCGGCUACGGGAGGCAGCAGGCGGGAAUAUUGUACAAUGGGCGGAAGCCUGAGGCAGCAACGUCGCGUGCGUGAUGACGGCUUUCGGGUUGUAAACCGCUUUCGCCUGUGACGAAGCGUGAGUGACGGUAAUGGGUAAAGAAGCACCGGCUAACUACGUG